GACGAACGCUGGCGGCGUGCUUAACACAUGCAAGUCGAACGGAAAGGCCUCUUUCGGGGGGUACUCGAGUGGCGAACGGGUGAGUAACACGUGAGUAACCUGCCCUUGACUUUGGGAUAACUUCAGGAAACUGGGGCUAAUACCGGAUAGAAUCUCCCGCUGCAUGGUUGGGGCUGGAAAGUUUCGGCGGUUGGGGAUGGACUCGCGGCAUCUCAGCUUGUUGGUGGGGUAGUGGCUUACCAAGGGUUUGACGGGUAGCCGGCCUGAGAGGGUGAACGGCCACAUUGGGACUGAGAGACGGCCCAGACUCCUACGGGAGGCAGCAGUGGGGAAUAUUGCACAAUGGGUGGAAGCCUGAUGCAGCAACGCCGUGUGCGGGAUGACGGCCUUCGGGUUGUAAACCGCUUUCGCUCAUGACGAAGCUUUGUGUGACGGUAGUGGGUAAAGAAGCACCGGCUAACUACGUG
rnacentral:rRNA from 1 species